rnacentral:rRNA from 1 species
AUGGAGGUUAGCGAGGUCCUCACUGCCAACCGGGGACGUGAGAAAUCAGAACAAUAUGGUGCCAUCCGCGACGGGCCAAAUUUAGAGAACUUGCUGGAUAAUCGACGCCACUCAUUACUAGAGUGCAACAUGGCGCGAAGUGUUUGGACUCUGAACCCGGUGGAGGCGAUAGCGACACAGGGCGCCGGGUCGGACACUCAGCCACGACUGUGGGUUGUGAACCACAGAUGGAGCAGGACGAGGCGUGGCACGGAGAUGUAUAUCGUGCAACACACGGUGAAGGAGCACGUCGGCUCUUCGUCGUACCCAAUGCUCACCCGGACAUGCUACACCAAGUGGCCAACCUUAAUGCACGCCAAAAUGCAGGCGCAAGGGAUCUGGGAUCCCAUGAAGCACGAUGUUAGAUUCGAUCGAGAGGAAAGGAAUACCCUCACGGUGAUCCUGCAGUCCGUUCCACCGGAGAUGUUGCGCGUCAUCGUCGUCAAGAACAAUGCCAGGGAUGCCUGGAACGUCGUGCGGACGAUUCGCGUCGUUGUCGAGCGCGCCAGGGAGGCCAAGGCACAUAAGCUGCGCCGGGAAUUGAUAACCUGGCGACUGACGUUAAGGACGGGCUUUGCCAAGGGCAAUGACGGCAGCGCAGGGGGGGGCUACUUCGCACGAAGGAGUGGAACGACAAUGGAUAGACAACUUGGUGUAGAACGGCCGGGUGAACGAUCAGUGUUCGGUGGUUGGACUGAAAAUUUCAACAUCGAUCCUUUUGAUGGGAGCACGGCUUCAGUUCAGUUUGAGGGGUUCGGUCUGAGGAGUGGCACUGUCAUCUUAUAUGUCGGUAGAGUUGGCCUCAUUUGCCUCAACCUUGCCAGUUGCCACAAAAGAGGCGGUUGUCGUCUACCACCGCAGCGAUACGGCCUACAUCUCGCAGGUUUGCCUGCACGAGAUGGAUUUGUCCUCUCUGCUCCAGACCAUGAAGCCUCUGAGCUAGCUGCUUAUUAUGGAUCAGUUUUGGGAAUGUUCUUCAGUCAAGUUCUUGUUCUACUGCUUUGUUUGCUUAGAGCAGCUGUUUUAGCUCUAAGCAGCCGUGCUCCUUGGCCAAUACUAGUUGUAAAAGGAAUCGAGUCACUCCUAAUACGACCCACAAGGCCACAAAGAUGGCCGGUUCAUCGUAGAAGCAAAAGCAUGGGGAUCGGCAGUGACGGUACUGUCACCGGCGUCGGCAAGUACCUCAAGGAGAAGAAUCCCAAUGCGAAGAUCUAUGGAGUUGAACCUGCCGCCCAAGCAAAUAUUCUGAAUGGUGGCAAGCCAAGGCCUCACCUAAUCACUGCAAAUGGAGUGGGACUCAAGCCGGUCAUUUUGGACAUGGGCAUAAUGGAGAAGGUUCUUGAGUCCAAAGAUGCUGGAAUCAGAGGCCAUGCUUGCUGCAACCAGCAGCUACCGACGGCAAAGAUGACCGGCUCCGGUGCUCCAACCAUAGUUUUGUUUUUGUUGGCACAAGGCGAUAGGAAAGCUGCAACCACUUUGGCCGGUGCUGGAAUCGGACGGCGUCGAGAUCAUUUUUGCUGGAACUGGCAUUUUUUUUGCUUGAACCGGCAAGAUUUUUGUUGCAAGGACAGAUGUGAGUUUUUGCUGGCGACGGCGAUGUGUUUUUGGUGGAACCAGGAUAAUUUUUUGCUGCCGACGGCGAGCCGGUGCCGGCGACGCAAGAGAUGUUACAACCACGGUGACCACGAGCUGGAGCCGGCAGGCAUUAGAGUUGCGACGAUAGGAGGAGGCAAGCUGGAAGGGCAUGUUGCAACCACUGAGGCGAGGGACCACCGCGACCUCACCUGCGGUGGCUGGUCGCCUGCGCGCCCAUGGCCAGGGUCGGCGGCGCGCCCCGUCCUCUCCCCGUACCACGUGCCCCCCCUCUCGAAGCUCCCAAAUGCGGCGCGGGCGAAGAACGGCAAGGUAUCCGCGAAGAAGAACAAGGCGGCGGACGGCUCCAACUCCUCUAAGCCGUCGAGGAAGAAGUUUGCAGGGCGUGCGACGGACGCGGCGGCUACCGAAGCGCCGGCGAGCUCACUUGUUGAGCCGGCGGCCGACGCGCACAAGGUGUUCGAGGAAAUGCCCCAAAGUUUCAACGAUGAGGCAUAUAUGUCAACUAUGGGUGUUUGCUCCAACAAUUCUCAUUGGUCUCAAACCAAUGACAUGCAUUUCGAUGGCCAUGAGUUCGAGGUGGACGAGGAUGGUGAGGGCAUUGUCGACGCACCGAAAGGAAGAGGAGGCAGCUACACCAAUGAUGAAGAUGUCUUGCUAUGCAAUACGUGGUUGCAAGUGUCAAGGGAUCCAUCCGUUGGAGGUGAUCAAAGUAGAGAUGCAUAUUGGAACCGGAUGAAGGAGCACUUUGAUCUACACAACAAGAGUGGAGUUGACCGCUCGGAACGAUCUGUUUGGUCCUGA